UACGAAGGGGGCUAGCGUUGUUCGGAAUUACUGGGCGUAAAGCGCACGUAGGCGGGUUUGUAAGUAGGGGGUGAAAUCCCAGGGCUCAACCCUGGAACUGCCUUCUAGACUGCAAGCCUGGAGGUCAGGAGAGGCGAGUGGAAUACCGAGUGUAGAGGUGAAAAUUCGUAGAUAUUCGGUGGAACACCAGUGGCGAAGGCGACUCGCUGGACUGAUACUGACGCUGAGGUGCGAAAGCGUGGGGAGCAAACAGG
rnacentral:rRNA from 1 species